UGCUAGUUGGUAGCUCGUGCCCUUGC
rnacentral:piRNA from 1 species